UUCAGAAAACCCUUACCUCCAGCAAUUCUCCAUCUCCUAUUUUCCCUUAAGGAGGAUGAUGAAGGUGAAGAAGGAGAUGAAGAUGAUGAUGACGAUGGCUCUGAGAUGGAAUUGGAUGAGGAUUACCCUGAUAUGAAUGCUUCUCCCUUGGUCCGAUUUGAGCGCUUUGACCGGGAGGAUGAUCUCAUCAUUGAGUUUGACAACAUGUUCUCCAGUGCUACAGACAUCCCCCCAUCCCCGGGAAAUAUCCCUACCACCCACCCAUUGAUGGUACGCCAUGCAGAUCACAGUUCUCUGACGCUGGGCAGUGGCUCUUCCACAACUCGUCUCACACAGGGCAUUGGUCGCAGUCAGCGGACCCUAAGACAGCUCACGGCCAAUACAGGCCACACCAUUCACGUUCACUACCCAGGGAAUCGCCAACCUAACCCUCCUCUUAUACUCCAGAGGUGAGUUACAAACAAAAUCUGUUGAGACUCAGUAGAAUUCAUUUCUCUGUAGGUUAUUUAUAC
rnacentral:lncRNA from 1 species